AAAUAAAUAAAAUCUUUUUUUAAAAAAAAAGAAAUUGUAAUCCAGCAUCAUCAACAGUACAGUAUGGAAUGAUGGUCCCCCUCAGUAUUCCCUCCUACAUCUUUUAAACAGCAUCUUCCCUCCCUAUCUACAAACCCUACU